rnacentral:rRNA from 1 species
AACGAACGCUGGCGGCAGGCCUAACACAUGCAAGUCGAACGCUUUAGCAAUACAGAGUGGCAGACGGGUGAGUAACACGUGGGAAUCUUCCUAUCGGUACGGAAUAGCUCAGGGAAACUUGGGGUAAUACCGCAUACGCCCUUCGGGGGAAAGAUUUAUCGCCGAUAGAUGAGCCCGCGUCUGAUUAGCUAGUUGGUGAGGUAAUGGCUCACCAAGGCGACGAUCAGUAGCUGGUCUGAGAGGAUGACCAGCCACACUGGGACUGAGACACGGCCCAGACUCCUACGGGAGGCAGCAGUGGGGAAUAUUGGACAAUGGGCGCAAGCCUGAUCCAGCCAUGCCGCGUGAGUGACGAAGGUCUUCGGAUUGUAAAGCUCUUUUGCCAGGGACGAUAAUGACGGUACCUGGAGAAUAAGCCCCGGCUAACUUCGUGCCAGCAGCCGCAGUAAUAC